rnacentral:rRNA from 2 species
CGGAGCAUGUGGUUUAAUUCGAAGCAACGCGAAGAACCUUACCAGGGCUUGACAUGCCGCUGACCGGUGCAGAGAUGCAUCUUUACCCUUCGGGGUACAGCGGACACAGGUGGUGCAUGGUUGUCGUCAGCUCGUGUCGUGAGAUGUUGGGUUAAGUCCCGCAACGAGCGCAACCCUUGUCUUUAGUUGCCAUCAUUAAGUUGGGCACUCUAAAGAGACUGCCGAUGACAAAUCGGAGGAAGGUGGGGAUGACGUCAAAUCAUCAUGCCCUUUAUGUCCUGGGCUACACACGUGCUACAAUGGUCGGUACAACGAGAAGCAAGUCAGCGAUGGCAAGCAAAUCUCUAAAAGCCGAUCCCAGUUCGGAUUGCAGGCUGCAAUUCGCCUGCAUGAAGUCGGAAUCGCUAGUAAUCGCAGGUCAGCAUACUGCGGUGAAUACGUUCCCGGGCCUU